GCCGCGUAUCGGAGCGCUCUCUGUUGGCAUCGUUUACAUUAAUGACGCAUUUACACUCUGCUACGCUACAAUUAUUAGAAAGUAUUCUUAAUUAACGUUAGUACUUGAUAUACGCUUUCAUAUUGUGAAAAGGAUUUUCUCAUUAAAUUAUUGAUCAAAUGGACCCUUAUUUCUAUAUCAUUGAAUUUACAUCGAUUGCGCGUAGAAAAAGGUUAUAUGAUUCCAUUGAAUAAGGAGCUAAAGGAAUGUUUAAGGAAAAAAGAAAAGAAAAAAGAAAAAUGUACGGAAAUCUGUUUUACAGAACUUAUGUUAUUUCAAAUGUUGCAAAAGAGGUUAGGAUUAACAGGAUCACUCAAUACAUCAACGAUAAAAAUGUCUGCACUUUCAUGUUUCUAAAAAACAAGGUUUGUAAAAUCUAAUGAAGUGUAUUCAAAUAAGAUAAUUGGAGGGAGAAUAAACAUUAAUUGAAGAUAUCACUAAAAGAAAUGAAUUAGUUUCUAGAGUUCAAUUAUUUCUUGUAGAAAUUGUAAAAGUCAUAAAUAAUGUUUUACAAGGAUAAUGAAUUGAAUGAAAAUAUGACUUAGAUCAGGGAAGGAGCUGUUUGAGAUAUCACUUUUUUUUUGACAUUCAAAAAUUGUCUCUCAGAACAAUUCCAUUGAUUAACUUUCAGGAUAUUAUAGUCAAGCUAAAAGAUACAAUACAUAUAACUUAGAUGUUAUAAAAAGAAAAAAAAAAAGCUGUAUGUGCAACAAUAUUUCUAUAUAAUAUCAGAUUGAUUACUAGCUGUAUCAAAAUUUUUCUUUGAUAUAAUUAUAAAAUGGCUGGAACAGAACUUUAUCUAUAAGAAUUCUUUACUUGACUGAAAAACAAAGAUUUGACAAAUCCAAAUCUAAUGAAGAAAUGUCUCAUAAAAUAUACAUAAUAUAAAUUAAUCAUUCAAUGACUUUGCAUGAACAAAAGUAUCAAAAAAUGUAUUUGUAUAGACCCAUACAUUGAAGCUUGAUGUGAUUCCUAUGGUCAUAUUUAAUGUUGAUAAUGCAAGCAAAAUGGAAGAGCUAGAAGAUAAAACAAGCUAUACUGAAAAACCUGGAUAAGAAGCAAACUGAUAAAGCAGAACUAGAAGUCUAAAUAUUGUCUAAAGACAAUAUCUUUGUAAUGAUGAAAGAAAAUUCAUUUGGAUAACGCAAAAGUAUUAUCAUUACACCAAUGGAUGGUACUAAUUGGUAUUUUUAUGAACAAAUUGAUUUUGGAAAAUAGCAACGAUGGAUGUGUCAUUGAAAGAGAACGAACAAGAAGAAGCCUUUGAAAAUAUCAACAAUCUCUCAUCCGUUCAAGAGUUUUAUUACGAUCAAAAGUAUAUUCAUAAUCAAACGAACAAAAUCUUUUAGGAAAAUUAUUUGAUCGAGAAAUUGUGUAUAUGUCCUAAUAUCAAUCACAUUUAUCUUUUGAAAAUGGGUAGAACGCUUCAACGCAAAGAGCUCAUGAAAGAUUCAGUUAAAGAUCAAGAAAGAAAUACAAUUGACUUAUAUGUUGUGUAGAAUUAUAAUUAAUGUACAACAAUGUAGGAUAUUUUAUUAUACUGAUCUCAUUAUUUUGAUCAGAAUUUGAUUGUAUACAUUUUUACAAUCAACAAAUAUUUAAUAUUUAUUAUUUAGUAUUUAAAACUGAUAAGAAGAAAAAAUUAAUAAAUAAAUUAUUUUGAUCUUGUUAACGUUGGACGUGCAAAAAGUAACAUACAAAAAGUAACAGAAAGUUGUUUUCCUUGAAAUAAUUAUGUAUUUAUGAUACGUAUUUAAGUAAUUACGUAUACCUGGCUGAGAAAAUUAAUAGCUAUUUCAAUGGACAUUUAUUCAGUUUUUUUCUAUACUGAGAAAAAAAGAAAGCAAAAUUCCAAUAUCACAUAGUCAUGAUAAAAGGUAAUUGUAGCUUAUUAAAUGUUGAUAUCUCGAUGACCGAUAGGUCAUCACCUAUACAAAAUGUUUUCAUUGUUUUUCACGUCACGGUGACCAUGUAAAAUUCAAUGAUAAAAUAAUUAAUAUCGGCUACAGUUAUUAACAUUUUUAAAGGUGCAAUAAAUUUAUUCAAAAAAAUUUCAAAACUGAUGAUUCGAAGUUUGCCCUUUAAAUACAUAUUUGUAUAUGUAUACGUGAUUUCUUUUGAAAUGAAACUUCGAAGUUGACGAUGAUAUAGAAUGAAAAUGAAAUAAAAAGAAAAAAAUGAAUGUAAAAGAAUUAAGUAUACAGAGAUAUGGUGAGAAAGAGAAAGAGAAAGAGAUAGAGAAUAAAUAUAGAAACAAGUUGUGAAUGAA